rnacentral:rRNA from 1 species
GAUGAACGCUGGCGGCGUGCCUAAUACAUGCAAGUCGAACGAAACUUCUUUAUCACCGAGUGCUUGCACUCACCGAUAAAGAGUUGAGUGGCGAACGGGUGAGUAACACGUGGGCAACCUGCCCAAAAGAGGGGGAUAACACUUGGAAACAGGUGCUAAUACCGCAUAACCAUAGUUACCGCAUGGUAACUAUGUAAAAGGUGGCUAUACUACCGCUUUUGGAUGGGCCCGCGGCGCAUUAGCUAGUUGGUAGGGUAAAGGCUUACCAGGGCAAUGAUGCGUAGCCGAAUUGAGAGGUUGAUCGGCCACAUUGGGACUGAGACACGGCCCAAACUCCUACGGGAGGCAGCAGUAGGGAAUCUUCCACAAUGGGCGAAAGCCUGAUGGAGCAACGCCGCGUGGGUGAAGAAGGUCUUCGGAUCGUAAAACCCUGUUGUUAGAGAAGAAAGUGCGUGAGAGUAACUGUUCACGUUUCGACGGUAUCUAACCAGAAAGCCACGGCUAACUACGUG